rnacentral:rRNA from 1 species
AUACGGAGGGUGCAAGCGUUACUCGGAAUCACUGGGCGUAAAGGGUGCGUAGGCGGUUUGAUAAGUCUGAUGUGAAAUCCUAUGGCUCAACCAUAGAACUGCAUUGGAAACUGUCAGACUAGAAUACUGAAGGGGCAGAUGGAAUUAGUGGUGUAGGGGUAAAAUCCGUAGAUAUCACUAGGAAUACCGAAAGCGAAAGCGAUCUGCUGGGAAGUUAUUGACGCUGAGGCACGAAAGCGUGGGGAGCAAACGGGAUUAGAUACCCUAGUAGUCC